rnacentral:rRNA from 1 species
CAGCGCCUGACACAUGCAAGUCGAACAAAGGCUGUCGGCCUUUAUAGGCGCACGGGUGCGUAACGCGUGGGAAUCUGCCCUUGGGUUCGGAAUAACAGUUAGAAAUGACUGCUAAUACCGGAUGAUGACGUAAGUCCAAAGAUUUAUCGCCCAGGGAUGAGCCCGCGUAGGAUUAGCUAGUUGGUGGGGUAAAGGCCUACCAAGGCGACGAUCCUUAGCUGGUCUGAGAGGAUGAUCAGCCACACUGGGACUGAGACACGGCCCAGACUCCUACGGGAGGCAGCAGUGGGGAAUAUUGGACAAUGGGCGCAAGCCUGAUCCAGCCAUGCCGCGUGAGUGAUGACGGCCUUAGGGUUGUAAAGCUCUUUCGCACGCGACGAUAAUGACGGUAGCGUGAGAAGAAGCCCCGGCUAACUUCGUGCCAGCAGCCGCGGUAAU